rnacentral:lncRNA from 1 species
CUUAAGAAUCCCUAACGAUAGCGUUGGAAUUUGAACUCCUCCCCUCCCGGAUGAGGGUGAGAGCGCAAAGCCAGCGCUACCGCUGUGGGCGGUUGUUGAUUUCUUGAUAGCCAGAAUCCGCCAAGUGGUGUCUUUUUAAGCAAUGGCUCUGUGUGGCCCCGACGGUGGGAGAGUCAUAAAAGGGCGGAGGUGGCGGCUGCGGCAGCUUAAGCCUCAGCUGUU